ACAUUCAAACAACUUUAUUUCAGCCUUCAUUGGCAAAACAGCAACAUGAACAGAAAAAUAGCAUGCAGCUUCAAUAAUUAGGCAAAUAUUGAAUACAUCUCAAAAACCAGAUAUCUAAGAGUUAGUAAAUAGCUAAUUGAACAUUAAAUAAUAACAACCUAUUUUAAAACAGUUUUAAUGGUAAAAAAUAAAAAUAAAACCCCAAGAUCUCUCUCCUCUAUUUAGCAACUGAUACUCUGUUUCCCUAUUCCUUAUUAUCAGCUAACUAUUAUAUGGAUGUAUAUACAUAUGUACAUGUGGCAUUUUUCCUUUUUUUAAAGGCACUGAAUUUAAAGUUAUUAAUUCUAGGCAAAGCAAACUCUUUAGGAAUAAAAGGUUCUGUGAUACACACCUUACCAUACUGUUCAAAAGAAAAGAACACAUUACUGGAAGGCAAAAGAUGUAGACUUAAUCCAACUGUUAACAUGCAUUCAUUACGUUAUUAUACCAAAUGAAUUUGUACAAGUCAUACAGCUUCUCUGGUUAUGUGAUAAACUUGCAAACUAAGGGAAAUUUGCAAUUGCAUCCUUAAUGUCCACUCAGAAUUUAAAUAAUAUAAUAUCCUAUUGUUCUAUGAUCUGUCUCUAAGCAGACCGCUCUUUAUGACUAUCUAAAUUAAAGUUGUCAAGAUUAGCUGAUUACAUUUGCCAGAAUAAACACUAGCAAUAAAAGGGUAUCUUAAUUUUAAUAUCUAUGGGAGACUU
rnacentral:lncRNA from 1 species